UACGUAGGCAGCGAGCGUUGUUCGGAGUUACUGGGCGUAAAGAGUGCGUAGGCGGUGCUCCAAGUCUGGUGUGAAAUCUCCCGCUUAACCGGGAGGGUGCGCCGGAAACUGGGGUGCUGGAGUGUGGGAGAGGUAAGCGGAAUUCCCGGUGUAGUGGUGAAAUGCGUAGAGAUCGGGAGAACACCAGUGGCGAAGGCGGCCCCCUGGGCCGUUCCUGACGCUGAGACGCGAAGGCGCGGGGAGCGAACGGG
rnacentral:rRNA from 1 species